AGAGUUUGAUCCUGGCUCAGGAUGAACGCUGGCGGCGUGCUUAACACAUGCAAGUCGAACGAUGAUGCCAGCUUGCUGGUGGAUUAGUGGCGAACGGGUGAGUAACACGUGAGUAACCUGCCCUUAACUCUGGGAUAACCCUGGGAAACUGGGUCUAAUACCGGAUAUGACUCCUCAUCGCAUGGGGGGGGGGGGAAAGCUUUAUUGUGGUUUUGGAUGGACUCGCGGCGUAUCAGCUUGUUGGUGAGGUAAUGGCUUACCAAGGCGACUACGGAUACCCGGCCUGAGAGGGUGACCGGCCACUGUGGGACUGAGACACGGCCCACACCCCUACGGGACGCAGCAGUGGAGAAUUUUGCACUGUGCGCGCAAUUCUGACGCUACGACGCCGCGUGAGGUAAGACGUCCUUCGGUUUGUAAAUCUCUUUCCGUAGGGAAGACGCGAAAGUGACGGCACCUGCAAAAA
rnacentral:rRNA from 1 species